UCGUCAUUGACAGUUGGGAUGCCCUAAAGAAAGAACUCAAGGCAGAGUUCUACUCGGUGCACGUAAGCCGCAAAGCAAGGGCAAAAAUGAGGGACCUCAAGCAGGGCCAUUCGAUCAAGGAGUACGUCAAGGCAUUCUCCAACUUGAUGCGACAAAUUGACAACAUGAGCGACGAGGAUCUCUUGUUCAACUUCUUAUCCGGGCUUAAACCAUGGGCGGUUCAAGAAUUAAGACGGUCCAAGNNN
rnacentral:lncRNA from 1 species